AUUGAACGCUGGCGGCAGGCCUAACACAUGCAAGUCGAGCGGAUGAAGGGAGCUUGCUCCUGAAUUCAGCGGCGGACGGGUGAGUAAUGCCUAGGAAUCUGCCUGGUAGUGGGGGAUAACGUCCGGAAACGGGCGCUAAUACCGCAUACGUCCUGAGGGAGAAAGUGGGGGAUCUUCGGACCUCACGCUAUCAGAUGAGCCUAGGUCGGAUUAGCUAGUUGGUGGGGUAAAGGCCUACCAAGGCGACGAUCCGUAACUGGUCUGAGAGGAUGAUCAGUCACACUGGAACUGAGACACGGUCCAGACUCCUACGGGAGGCAGCAGUGGGGAAUAUUGGACAAUGGGCGAAAGCCUGAUCCAGCCAUGCCGCGUGUGUGAAGAAGGUCUUCGGAUUGUAAAGCACUUUAAGUUGGGAGGAAGGGCAGUAAGUUAAUACCUUGCUGUUUUGACGUUACCAACAGAAUAGGCACCGGCUAACUUCGUG
rnacentral:rRNA from 1 species